CCGCAUACGUCCUACGGGAGAAAGCAGGGGACCUUCGGGCCUUGCGCUAUCAGAUGAGCCUAGGUCGGAUUAGCUAGUUGGUGAGGUAAUGGCUCACCAAGGCUACGAUCCGUAACUGGUCUGAGAGGAUGAUCAGUCACACUGGAACUGAGACACGGUCCAGACUCCUACGGGAGGCAGCAGUGGGGAAUAUUGGACAAUGGGCGAAAGCCUGAUCCAUCCAAGGCGCGUGUGUGAAGAAGGUCUUCGGAUUGU
rnacentral:rRNA from 1 species